rnacentral:lncRNA from 1 species
UCAACCAAGAAGGGCCUAAUUCAUACUUCCUGACUAAUUUAUGGAGUAAAUCAACUCUAAAGAUCAUGUUUCGAAGCCUUUCUCUCGUUUGGAUGUGUCAGAGUUCCCUAAGAGCCUCAUAUGGACUUCUGGUUGUGCUCACACCCAAAUGCAUUAUAGGGUUAAGACAUAGUGCAGUAUCGAAGGAUCAGUCCUCAAGUGUCCAAGUUCAGAGGGAACUCAAGGUCCCAAGGCAAUGCUCACAGGAGGGGGGGAGGAUAGAAUUUGGAGACUAUGGGAGAGCGUAAGUGCGAAUUCUGAAAAGGGCCAAGGGGGAAGGGAAACAAUACACAUAGAUACAAAUAGAGGUAUAGGAAAUGGGGAAAUGGUAGAGAGGCAAGGACAGGCUAGUGGGCAUACCCAGCAAUUAGAAAUGCUGGCACACCUCACUAGCUUGUUAGAACACAUUAUUUCAGAGGUUAGGAUCCUGUAAGGGAUCAAGUUCGAACCAUGGACAAUAAAUUUGCAUAUUUCCAUUUUAUAAAUUAUAACCCAAAGCACAUAAAGGGAAAUAGUGAAACGGUAUUCACGGUAUAAAUAAGCCCAAAAGAAAUUAACAUGCUAGUUAAAUAUUUACCUCUGCGACAGUAGAAAGUAGACAUGGAUACAGAAAGCUAUAAGUAAACACAUUGUGGAUAUGAUGAAGCUUAAAUUAGGGCAUACCAGUUUAAAAGAAACAAGUAGAAAAAGCAAUAGUCUUGUAAAAGCCAAAGGGAAAAUGGGAAGACAUAAUACUAUAAGUAUGGGUUCAGAAGCGAUUGCGCAAUUGUGAAGUCUGAAGUGCAGGAUCAUUAAAUCAUGUUUUUGAGAAAAAAGGUCAUGUAUUUAUAGUACAUAAAGCAGGAAAAAAUAAGUUAAGAAAAUAUUUAAAGAACGGAUUGUCAAUCAAUUACACCAGGCAUCCCUUAAUUAAGGGAUUCAGAUUCAAACGGAUAAAACCAUUUAAGGAAAAGAAUAAAAUAAACACUUUGUGUAAAGCAUACAAUUGAGGGCAAAUACAUAAAGGUUAUUUAAGGAAAGGGUCUUGACAGUAGAUGGCUUGUGAAAAUAAGGCAGAGGGAUCAAUUAACAGCCAGGAUAUCGAAGGUUAAAGAUUUGUUUUGAAUGAACCAAGUUAGAAAGGUGGAAAAUGUUAUAACUUAAGGAAGAUCAACAAACAAUCAAUUUGACCUUUUUAAAAGGAAUUAUGAACCAAUCACAAGUUUCAAAAAUCCUUUUAAAGGGAGACUCGUCCCAUAUAAAAAGCACACAGACAUGUUAUGCAUGAAAGAAACUUUUCAUAAAAUCAGUAAAAAUUCUAGUAUAGGAGAGUUCAGAAAAAAAAUUAGAAUUGUACAAAGACAAAGAUAUCCACAAUGUGGUUCAGGGACUCAAAGUCAGUGUGAAAGAAUUAGGCGGUCUUUGAAAUAAAAGCGCUAGUUCGACCAAACCGGAAAGAAAAGAGGAGAGGGCAACCAAAUUGAAUCGAAACAUAUAUAGAGAUUUCAGAAGAGAACUGAAGCUUCUAAUUUGCCUAUUUCAUAACUCAUUAUGCAAAUGCAAUAGAGAUAUUCAGAGAACAUAAUGGGAAAUAGUAGAAAAACAUGCUUUUUACAAGAAACUUAACCAAAGUUCAGUAGAGGAAAAAUAGUAAAAACACUUAAGAAUACAGUAGAAGAAACAUGCUUAAGAAGGUCUUAUUAGAAGAACUGAAACAUGGUUCAGUAGAAGAAAAAUAGUAGAACGCUUAAGAAUACAGUAGAAGAAACAUGCUUUAGAAGAACUCAAACAAGGUUCAGUAGAAGGAAAACAAAGAAACUUAAGAACUUAGUAAAAAGUACAGUAGAAGAACACAAGAACACCGGAAAAGUAUAGCAAAAGAACAUGGUGAAAAACACAGUAAGAAGAAAAUAUGAGAACACAGUAUAGAAAACACAACAGAAGAACAAAAUAUAGAAAGCACGGUAGAAGGGCAUAUGUGGUAGAAGGAAAGCAUAAGAACAUAGUAGAGUCAAAUACAUACAAAAGAAAAGGAGAAGAAGAUCAGAUAAACACUUAAACACAUUUCAGAAAACCCUAGAUCGUAAAAGAAAGACUUUGAAAAGUAAAUUUUUGAAAGAAAAGCUACGGAAAUUGUUUGAAAACUCAAGUAGAGCAUAUAUACACAACAAGUCUAAAAAGAUCAGAGAAAAAAUUGAAGGUUAGGGUUUCAGACGAACCCUAGAGAUGAGAAAGACUUUGAAAAGGUCACCGAUUAGAGUCGAAAAAGCUAGAAGAAGGCUCAAACAACUUUCAUACGCCGGAGCAAGGCCGACGAUGACCUUGAGAUCUAGAACUGGAAAAGGUCUGAGAAACCUUCAAGGUUUGGCCUCGAAUAUCUAGAACAUAGGAGCGAUAUGAGGUGUGUAUAGGACUGCUAUGGCCUGAGAAGCCAUGGAUUCCGACGAGUUUCACAGUGGAAGUUAUUAGGGUUCAAGGAAGGUUCGAAAGUGUUUGAGAGAGGUGAAGGGAUUCAAAGGCAG